AUUCUACUGAAUUACAGCAUCAGCUAGAUAAAGCGAAACAGCAGCACCAGGAACAGCAGACACAUCAGCAAAACACUACAGCAAAGCUACGAGAAGCCCAGAAUGAUUUGGAGCAAGUACUACGACAAAUCGGAGAUAAGGACCAAAAAAUACAAAAUCUUGAGGCCUUGCUUCAAAAGAGCAAGGAAAACAUCUCCUUACUAGAAAAGGAAAGAGAGGACUUAUAUGCAAAAAUUCAAGCUGGUGAAGGAGAAACUGCAGUUCUUAACCAGCUACAGGAGAAAAAUCAUGCAUUACAAAUACAGGUAACUCAGCUGACAGAGAAGUUGAAGAAUCAGUCAGAAAGUCACAAACAAGCCCAGGAGAAUUUGCAUGAGCAAGUGCAGGAGCAAAAGGCACAGCUAAGAGCUGCUCAAGAUCGAGUGCUCUCACUGGAAUCAAACAUUACUGAACUAAAUAGCCAGCUAAAUGAAAGCAAAGAGAAAGUAUCACAACUUGAUAUA